AGUGAACGCUGGCGGUAGGCCUAACACAUGCAAGUCGAACGGCAGCACAGUAAGAGCUUGCUCUUACGGGUGGCGAGUGGCGGACGGGUGAGGAAUACAUCGGAAUCUACUUUUUCGUGGGGGAUAACGUAGGGAAACUUACGCUAAUACCGCAUACGACCUACGGGUGAAAGCAGGGGAUCUUCGGACCUUGCGCGAUUGAAUGAGCCGAUGUCGGAUUAGCUAGUUGGCGGGGUAAAGGCCCACCAAGGCGACGAUCCGUAGCUGGUCUGAGAGGAUGAUCAGCCACACUGGAACUGAGACACGGUCCAGACUCCUACGCGAGGCAGCAGUGGGGAAUAUUGGACAAUGGGCGCAAGCCUGAUCCAGCCAUACCGCGUGGGUGAAGAAGGCCUUCGGGUUGUAAAGCCCUUUUGUUGGGGAAGAAAAGCAGCAGGUUAAUACCCCGCUGUUCUGACGGUACCCAAAGAAUAAGCACCGGCUAACUUCGUG
rnacentral:rRNA from 1 species